UACGUAGGGUGCGAGCGUUGUCCGGAAUUAUUGGGCGUAAAGAGCUCGUAGGCGGUUUGUCGCGUCGGCCGUGAAAACUUGGGGCUUAACUCCAAGCUUGCGGUCGAUACGGGCAGACUUGAGUUCGGCAGGGGAGACUGGAAUUCCUGGUGUAGCGGUGAAAUGCGCAGAUAUCAGGAGGAACACCGGUGGCGAAGGCAGCUCGCUGGGACGGUACUGACGCUGAGACGCGAAAGCGUGGGGAGCAAACAGG
rnacentral:rRNA from 1 species